AUUGAACGCUGGCGGCAGGCCUAACACAUGCAAGUCGAACGGUAACAGGUCUUCGGAUGCUGACGAGUGGCGAACGGGUGAGUAAUACAUCGGAACGUGCCUAGUAGUGGGGGAUAACUACUCGAAAGAGUGGCUAAUACCGCAUGAGAUCUACGGAUGAAAGCAGGGGAUCGCAAGACCUUGUGCUACUAGAGCGGCCGAUGGCAGAUGAGGUAGUUGGUGGGAUAAAAGCUUACCAAGCCGACGAUCGGUAGCUGGUCUGAGAGGACGAUCAGCCACACUGGGACUGAGACAAGGCCCAGACUCCUCCGGGAGGCAGCAGUGGGGAAUUUUGGACAAUGGGCGCAAGCCUGUUCCAGCAAUGCCGCGUGCAGGAUGAAGGCCUUCGGGUUGUAAGCUGCUUUUGUACGGAACGAAAAGCCCUGGGUUAAUACCCUGGGGUCAUGACGUUACCGUAAGAAUAAGCACCGGCUAACUACGUGCCAGCCGCCGCCGUAAGAC
rnacentral:rRNA from 1 species